rnacentral:lncRNA from 1 species
AAAAAAAAUCUUAAAAAAAAUAAAAGAGUUCUGGGGUGGUGUGUGAAGGACUGGGCCAGGGUGAGCAGCCCAGUCUUCUACGCCCAUCUCUUCCCUAACCCACCAGGGGACUUUGGGUAAGUCCCCAACCUGCUCUGGGCAUCACUUUCCUCACCAUGAUUUGAAGGGUUUGGACAAGAUCAUCUCAAGAGUUUUUUCUAGCUUGGUGAUUUUAGGUUUCGUUAGAUAUAAUGCUUCUACGUUUUGGGUGACUUUAAUUCUGUUCCGUCAUUCUGAAGCAGCCUUCUGGCUUCCUUCCCUGCCUUAUUGCCCUCUCUCUUUCCUCUUUUGUUUUUGUUUUUUCACUCUUUUGUCUCCUCUCAAAGCUCAGGUGAGAGUGGUGAUCCUCAUUGAUAGAGGAAAGACUGAAAUUGCCCACCCCCCCAACACUUACGAACUUUUAUAAAAGAAAAUCUUAGACUUUAUACCCUUAAUUUUAGCUUCAGAGAUAAAUGUGUGACAAUAUAUUUGUCUGAAAACAACUCUUCAGAAGGAGUCACACUGGCAAAAUGGCCGGGCUUGUCAGAUCGUAAGAUGGCCACCCAUGCACACUGAUUGGGCACAGUGCCAUCCUGAAGACAUACUAGAAUUAUCUGUCUAUUUCCUAGGGAGUUUGCAAAAUUCUCACAUGAUUAAUUUGGACUUGAGCACAAUGAACCAUCUAAAUCUCUUUAUGGUAGGACACUGGGUGUGCCUGAAGUGUUUACUGACUUGAGGGGAUGUUUUGACCCUGAAAGGUGUGGAGAAGGGUGAGGCCCCUCCUCUUUUGUGGCAGCUGGAGCACCACCCACUGGCAUUCAGGUCACUUAAGGAGUGAGGACUGAAACAAAAGGAGAAAGAAAGAUGGGAAGAAAGGAAAGUGGAAGGAGAAAGUGUGGAGCUAGGAGAUAAAGUCACUACUAAGUACCUGAAUAUGGAAGAAGUGAGAAAGAAAGAGGAAAAGGAGAAGAGGGGAAAAUAAGAUGCUGUCAGAUACGGGCAGGAGAAAUCCUUUAGAGUGCUUUGUGACCACCCAGAAGUAGAAGAAUAAAACUAACGCUAUUAAAAAGCAAUGGAAUCCCUGCCUACUGCUGUUUCUCUGCCUCACAAACUUCUUUUUUCCCCUUUAAAUGCAACAAUAUAUUAACACUCUGUCAGUUGAAGAGUGCUUU